rnacentral:rRNA from 1 species
CCCUUAGAUGUUCUGGGCCGCACGCGUGCUACACUGAUGCAUUCAACGAGUCUAAAACCUGGUCUGAUAGGGCUGGGUAAUCUUUUGAAAGUGCAUCGUGAUUGGGAUAGAUGAUUGCAAUUCUUCAUCUUCAACGAGGAAUGCCUAGUAAACGCAAGUCAUCAGCUUGCAUUGAUUACGUCCCUGCCCUUUGUACGCACCGCCCGUCGCUCCUACCGAUUGAGUGGUCCGGUGAGGCUUUGGGAUCUGAGCGGAAAGAGCGUUUCGCUGUUUCUGCUCGGAAAACUCAGUCGAACCUUAUCAUUUAGAGGAAGGAGAAGUCGUAACA